rnacentral:tRNA from 1 species
AAAAAGAUAAGCUAAAAAAGCUUUUAGGCUCAUAACUUAAAUAUAGGAAUUAAACAUCCUUCUUUUUA